rnacentral:rRNA from 1 species
GGUUGAUCCUGCCAGUAUUAUAUGCUUGUCUUUAAGAUCUAAGCCAUGCAUGUCCAAGUAUAAAUUCGAUUAUACGGUGAAACUGCGGACGGCUCAUUAUAUCAGUUAUAGUUUCUUUGACGGUCCAGCCUCUCUCGUUGUGAUCAUCUCGGUGAAAGCGACGGUGGGGGUUUCUUGGAUAACUGUGGGAAUUCUAGAGCUAAUACAUGAACAACAGCGCCGACCCGAGGCUUCGGCUUUGGGGAGGGCCGGGUUUGUCCCCGUAAGCGCGGCACGGGCAACCGUUCCCCGC